UCGCGAAUUUUUCUCAAUGGGCGCAAGCCUGAAGAAGCCAUGCCGCGUGCGGGACGAAGGCCCUCUGGGUUGUAAACCGCUGUCAGGGAAGGGGAAAUGGUGCGGGUUAACAGCCCGUAUUUUGACUGCUUUCCAAAGGAAGCCCCGGCAAAACAUGUGCCAGCAGCCGCGGUAAUACAUGUGGGGCAAGCGUUGUUCGGAAUCACUGGGCAUAAAGGGUGCGUAGGCGGCAUGACACGUCUUGGGUGAAAUCCUGCGGCCCAACCGCGGGUCUGCCUGAGAUACGGUCAAGCUAGAGUGCGUGAGGGGUGACUGGAACGCGUGGUGUAGCGGUGAAAUGCGUAGAUAUCACGCGGAAGGCCAACGGCGAAGGCAAGUCACUGGUACGCAACUGACGCUGAGUGCACGAAAGCGUGGGGAGCAAACAGG
rnacentral:rRNA from 1 species